CGGGGGGGGGGGCAAGCGUUGUUCGGAAUUACUGGGCGUAAAGGGCGCGUAGGCGGGCGGGAAAGUCUCUCGUGAAAUCCCACGGGCUCAACCGUGGAAUUGCGGGAGAUACUACUCGUCUUGAGUUCGGGAGAGGAGUGUGGAAUUCCCAGUGUAGCGGUGAAAUGCGUAGAUAUUGGGAGGAACACCGGUGGCGAAGGCGGCACUCUGGACCGAUUACUGACGCUGAGGCGCGAAAGCUAGGGGAGCAAACGGGAUUAGAUACCCCGGUAGUCCUAGCUGUAAACGCUGAGCACUUGGUGUAGCGGGUAUCGACCCCUGCUGUGCCGAAGCUAACGCAUUAAGUGCUCCGCCUGGGGAGUACGGUCGCAAAGGCUG
rnacentral:rRNA from 1 species